UUUCCCGCAGGGCUCCGGGCGGCCGUGACCCUGCUGGAGUCCGGGGGGGACCUCCAGCCCCCCGGGGGGUCCCUGCGCCUCCUCUGCCGCGGGGAAGGAUUCGACAUCGGGAAAUUUGGGGUGUCCUGGGUGCGCCAGAGGCCCGGGAAGGCGCUGGAAUUGGUCGCAGAGAUCAACAGCGAUGGUGGCAGCACCUGGUACGCUCCAUCCGUGCGUGGCCGGUUCAGGAUCUCCAGGGACAACGGGCAGAGCUCGGUGACGCUGAGCAUGAACAACCUCCAGGACGAGGAUUCCGGGGUUUAUUUCUGUGCCAAACCUGCUCAGUCUGGUUGGGAUGUUGAUGCUGAUAAUGGUGACGGUCCCUGA